UGAAAGUGAGGUUGGUUUAGUAUUUAUAUCCACACGCAAAGGAAGCCGAGAUCACAGAAGACCUUCACUCCUUAAAGAAGCAAGACAUCCGAAGAAUUGUUCCGAAUCACUCCAGUGUAGUUGCUUUACCUACGGCAAGAACUUUCAAAGAUGGCAAGGUUCCAAACGAUGAUGGUGUUCGCCUUUGUCGUCCUGUCGGUUUUCAUGAUUUCCGACACCACAGCACAGAAAGGAGACGGCUAUGUCUCACGACCAGGCUAUUGCUGGAGACUUCUAGUGGACUGUGACGCUAACCCAGAUCAUGAAUGCUGUGGGGUCGGUGCGAACACACCCAGACCUCGCCCUCCGCAACGUGGAAAAUAGGAAUUAAUCAUCGAACGAAAGAGGGCAUUUCCAUCGGAUCG